GGGGGGGGUCAGACCCUGUUUGUACAUGUUUAAGUUUGACCAGGGUGAAAAUGUGAUGGCAAUCAGCAACAAUGUCCACCAACUUGGAGGACGUUGAAUUAUUUUGAGCACAUUUUAUUGUGUGUGUGUGUUUUUCAUUUUUGUUUUUUGUUUGUUUUGUUUUUUUGAUUGGAAGAAAGACGCAAAUACACACUAGACUGUUGCGAUGAAAGAUUUAUGUUGGCUGCUCGUGACCAAAUCCAAACGACUCCUGACUGUAGUGACCAAAGUGUCCUUUGUCCACUUUUACUGCACUUUUUUUUCAAAGCCAUCACAGUGAAUGCUUCUUUUAGAUGGGGUGGGGGAUGCUCGAGCCACUUUGGGGGUCUUGACUUUAAAGGUUCCUGACAAUGCAGUUCUCCAUUUCCCAUGUACAUGUUUGUGUCUUUAUGCCAUCUAAAUUGUGAUGUUGUCGCCUUAACACUGUUUUGUCCAUUCCUUUGGAUUUAUUUACAUUUAUGGCUACAUCUCAAUAAAGUCAUUUAUUUAGUUUAAAAAAAAAAAAGGUGAAACAGCCAUUACUGUAUAUAGAUUCACUUGAUGCGAAGAGGGUUUUUUUUCCUGAUUUUAUUGUUUUUAAUUUUGAAGAUUAUUGUUUUGAAAACCCCAAAUUCUGCAUCAUUUUUAAUGUCGAGGUUAAGAAUUGGCCUUCUGAAAAUUCUGUGUCCUCUGUGUUUAAUGAAUUUGCAUUAUGAGUGUGACAGGAGUUCAGCUACUUAAAGGGACGUUUCUACCAUAUGAAUAGUUGAAAUGCACCUGCAAAUGGUCACUUAUUGAUAGGUGGCUCGCUUGAAUGUAAAUUUGCCCUCCAAAAAAUGCCCCCCUUAACAGCCCAUCCCCCUUCCUUGGUUAUGUCUUAUGUCGAUUCAGAAUUUUCACUUCAGACUGGCUUUGUUUCAGUUGCGCACUGGGCCACUCUUCACUGUCAUCUCUUUGGAUACAAUAAAAAGCACGACAGUAACUGGUAGUCGUUUAUUGACUAGAGCGCGGGAUGUUAAUCCUGUUUUGUUUCAUAACGGCGACAACACAAAUUUGUAAUCGGCACGACCCGGAAUAACGGCACUCAACACGAUCGCGGUUCGGUAUGUACGGUACUUGGGUUUCAAGGUCGUGGUUUGGUUUAAAUUGGGUAGAGUAAGCGAACAAAAUGCUCUUAUUUUGCGUAAACUGGAAUCAUCAACAGCUUGAUUUUUUGGGGGGAGGGCUGGGUGGUGGAGAGGGUACAUCAUCAAUGGGCUGUCUUGUCAAAUGCAACUAUCAAAUAUUUCAUGUAUAAAAGUUUAGGGAACACUGAUAGUCUGUCUCCUUUUUAGGAAUCGAAGGCCGCAGUCUCACUUUGAACAGUGAAUUAUGCUACACAAACACUAAUAAGGAGGGCCGCCGGCAAGACUUGUCGCUGCGCCGCAGCUUCGACGGACCGUCAAUAUGUGUCCUUACACAAAAGCCAUCCAUGGUGCAAAAGAGAUUGGGCACUGGACUGCUGCCCGAGAGAACUGUGCUAAGAGAAAACACCAAUGAAUCCAGAAAGAAAAGCCUUGUUCGGGACACUCUGGUAUUUUGUCUCUCGUCUGACCCUCUUGUUGAGACAUA